GGGGCAUUCGUAUUUAACUGUCAGAGGUGAACUUCUUAGAUUUGUUAAAGACGAACUACUGCGAAAGCAUUUGCCAAGGAUGUUUUCAUUAAUCAAGAACGAAAGUUAGGGGAUCGAAGACGAUCAGACACUGUUGUAGUCCUAACCAUAAACUAUGCCGACUAGAGAUUGGAGGUUGUCAGUUUUUACGACUCCCUCAUCAGAUGUGUCGAUCUCAAAGUCUGAUGGUUCUGGCGGGAGUAUGGUCGCAAGUCCGAAACUGAAACGACUCGGUGGAAGGACAUCACCAGGUCUGGCGCUUGCUGGUUAAUACGAGUCAGCGUGGUGUACCUCACCAGGUCCAGACAGAGGAAGGAUUGACAGAUUGAUAGCUCUUUCUUGAUUCUUUGGGUGGUGGUGCAUGGCCGUUCUUAGUUGGUGGAGUGAUUUGUCUGGUUAAUUCCGUUAACGAACGAGACCUUAACCUGCUAAAUAGGAUGCGGGAAUAAACUUUUGUUGUCCCGUUAUCGCUUCUUAGAGGGACUUUGCGGUUAUAAAUCGCAAGGAAGUUUAAGGCAAUAACAGGUCUGUGAUGCCCUUAGAUGUCCUGGGCCGCACGCGCGCUACACUGAUGCGUUCAUCGAGUUUAUCCUUGGCCGAGAGGCCCGGGUAAUCUUUAGUACGCAUCGUGAUGGGGAUCGAUUAUUGGGCUUAGUACACCUGCACAAGGAAUGAGGAAAAGGCGCGAGUCUGGACAUUCUGCCGAUGGC
rnacentral:rRNA from 1 species